rnacentral:rRNA from 1 species
GGGGAAUAUUGCACAAUGGGCGGAAGCCUGAUGCAGCGACGCCGCGUGAGGGAUGACGGCCUUCGGGUUGUAAACCUCUUUCAGCAGGGACGAAGCGGCUGGGUUUUCUCGAUCGUGACGGUACCUGCAGAAGAAGCGCCGGCCAACUACGUGCCAGCAGCCGCGGUAAGACGUAGGGCGCGAGCGUUGUCCGGAUUUAUUGGGCGUAAAGAGCUCGUAGGCGGCUUGUCGCGUCGACCGUGAAAACUCACAGCUCAACUGUGAGCCUGCGGUCGAUACGGGCAGGCUAGAGUUCGGUAGGGGAGACUGGAAUUCCUGGUGUAGCGGUGAAAUGCGCAGAUAUCAGGAGGAACACCGGUGGCGAAGGCGGGUCUCUGGGCCGAUACUGACGCUGAGGAGCGAAAGCGUGGGGAGCGAAC